CCUAUACAUGCAAGUCGAACGCACUCUCGUUUAGAUUGAAGGAGCUUGCUCCUGAUUGAUAAACAUUUGAGUGAGUGGCGGACGGGUGAGUAACACGUGGGUAACCUGCCCUAAAGUGGGGGAUAACAUUUGGAAACAGAUGCUAAUACCGCAUAAAACCUAACACCGCAUGGUGUAGGGUUGAAAGAUGGUUUCGGCUAUCACUUUAGGAUGGACCCGCGGUGCAUUAGUUAGUUGGUGAGGUAAAGGCUCACCAAGACCGUGAUGCAUAGCCGACCUGAGAGGGUAAUCGGCCACACUGGGACUGAGACACGGCCCAGACUCCUACGGGAGGCAGCAGUAGGGAAUCUUCCACAAUGGACGAAAGUCUGAUGGAGCAACGCCGCGUGAGUGAAGAAGGUUUUCGGAUCGUAAAACUCUGUUGUUGGAGAAGAAUGUAUCUGAUAGUAACUGAUCAGGUAGUGACGGUAUCCAACCAGAAAGCCACGGCUAACUACGUGCCAGCAGCCGCGGUAAUACGUAGGUGGCAAGCGUUGUCCGGAUUUAUUGGGCGUAAAGCGAGCGCAGGCGGUUUCUUAAGUCUGAUGUGAAAGCCUUCGGCUCAACCGAAGAAGUGCAUCGGAAACUGGGAAACUUGAGUGCAGAAGAGGACAGUGGAACUCCAUGUGUAGCGGUGAAAUGCGUAGAUAUAUGGAAGAACACCAGUGGCGAAGGCGGCUGUCUGGUCUGUAACUGACGCUGAGGCUCGAAAGCAUGGGUAGCAAACAGGAUUAGAUACCCUGGUAGUCCAUGCCGUAAACGAUGAGUGCUAGGUGUUGGAGGGUUUCCGCCCUUCAGUGCCGCAGCUAACGCAUUAAGCACUCCGCCUGGGGAGUACGACCGCAAGGUUGAAACUCAAAGGAAUUGACGGGGGCCCGCACAAGCGGUGGAGCAUGUGGUUUAAUUCGAAGCAACGCGAAGAACCUUACCAGGUCUUGACAUCCUUUGACCACUCUAGAGAUAGAGCUUUCCCUUCGGGGACAAAGUGACAGGUGGUGCAUGGUUGUCGUCAGCUCCGGUCCUGAGAUGUUGGGUUAAGUCCCGCAACGAGCGCAACCUUUAUUACUAGUUGCCAGCAUUUAGUUGGGC
rnacentral:rRNA from 1 species